rfam:Gemmobacter megaterium strain DSM 26375 genome assembly, contig: Ga0111664_101
GCGGGUGUAGCUCAAUGGCAGAGCGAGAGCUUCCCAAGCUCCAGACGAGGGUUCGAUUCCCUUCACCCGCU